AGAGGUUACACUGGACACAACUUAGAUCUCCAGCACCUUAUAGGUGCUUCUCAGGACCUGAUGGUACCAAAAGAUUCUCCAGGGAUCAUCUCUGCACAGUCCCCUGGCAGUGUACCCUCAGCAGCCCUGCCUGUGCUGGAACAAUUGAAUCCUUCCUUCUGUCAGCUGUGCUGGGGGGCAGUACCAGACAGAUGUUCCAGUGACACCACAUCCCAAGCCUGUCUCCAACCCUACUGGGAAUGCCACUCCCUCCUUCCUGUGGCUUCUUCCUCAUACAUGGAAUUUGCCUGGCCCUGCCUCACCACCCAUCCUGUGCAUCAUCUGAUUGGAGGCCCAGGACAAGCGCCAUCAACCUAUUACUUACACUGGCCAUAAGAGGCCUCUACUUGGCAGUAAUAAAAACUUUUUCUAGAAGUU
rnacentral:lncRNA from 1 species